rnacentral:rRNA from 1 species
GACGAACCGUCCAAACGUUAUUCGGAAUCACUGGGCUUACAGAGUUCGUAGGCGGUCUGGAAAGUUGGGUGUGAAAUCCCUCGGCUCAACCGAGGAACUGCGCUUGAAACUACCAGACUCGAGGGAGAUAGAGGAAAGCGGAACUGAUGGUGGAGCGGUGAAAUGCGUUGAUAUCAUCAGGAACACCGGUGGCGAAGGCGGCUUUCUGGGUCUUACCUGACGCUGAGGAACGAAAGCGUGGGGAGCGAACAGG